rnacentral:tRNA from 1 species
GGCUCGUUGGUCUAGGGGUAUGAUUCCGCUUUGGGUGCGAGAGGUCCCGGGUUCAAAUCCCAGACGAGCCC